GCCAGCAGCCAUAUCACCCUGCAACUCACAACUGGCAGCCCACUGAAGCUAAGCAGGUGUGAGCCUGGUCAGUACCUGGAGGAGAGGCUCCUGGGAAAGCUAAGGCUGCUGCUGGAA
rnacentral:rRNA from 1 species